UGCGGAAGGUCAUUACAGAAUUGUCAACGGGUUGUUGCUGGUCCUCGAACGGGGACAUGUGCACGCUCUGUUUACACAUCCACUCACACCUGUGCACCCUCCGUAGUUCUGUGGUCUGGGGGACCCUGUCUUCCUGCCGUGGUUCUACAUCUUUACACACACACUGUAAUAAAGUCUUAUGGAAUGUAUGCCGCGUCUAACGCAAUACAAUACAACUUUCAGCAACGGAUCUCUUGGCUCUCGCAUCGAUGAAGAACGCAGCGAAAUGCGAUAAGUAAUGUGAAUUGCAGAAUUCAGUGAAUCAUCGAAUCUUUGAACGCACCUUGCGCCCCUUGGCUAUUCCGAGGGGCAUGCCUGUUUGAGUAUCAUGAACACCUCAACUCUCAUGGUUCGCCGUGAUGAGCUUGGACUCUGGGGGUUUUGCUGGCCUGCGGUCGGCUCCCCUCAAAUGAAUCAGCCUCCCAGUGUUUGGUGGCAUCACGGGUGUGAUAAAUAUCUACGCUCGCAGUUGUCCGCCAGGUAACCUUUGGCGACAAAGGUUCGCUGGAGCUCACAGAUGUCUCUCCUCAGCGAGGACAGCUUUUUGAACGUUCGAUCUCAAAUCAGGUAGGACUACCCGCUGAACUUAAGCAUAUCA
rnacentral:rRNA from 1 species